rnacentral:rRNA from 1 species
UACGUAGGGGGCUAGCGUUGUCCGGAAUCAUUGGGCGUAAAGAGCGUGUAGGCGGUCCGGUAAGUCCGCUGUGAAAGUCGGGGGCUCAACCCUCGAAUGCCGGUGGAUACUGUCGGGCUAGAGUGCGGAAGAGGCGAGUGGAAUUCCUGGUGUAGCGGUGAAAUGCGCAGAUAUCAGGAGGAACACCAAUGGCGAAGGCAGCUCGCUGGGACGUGACUGACGCUGAGACGCGAAAGCGUGGGGGAGCAAACAGG